rnacentral:rRNA from 1 species
UUGGUGCCUUCGGGAACUGUGAGACAGGUGCUGCAUGGCUGUCGUCAGCUCGUGUUGUGAAAUGUUGGGUUAAGUCCCGCAACGAGCGCAACCCUUAUCCUUUGUUGCCAGCGGUCCGGCCGGGAACUCAAAGGAGACUGCCAGUGAUAAACUGGAGGAAGGUGGGGAUGACGUCAAGUCAUCAUGGCCCUUACGACCAGGGCUACACACGUGCUACAAUGGCGCAUACAAAGAGAAGCGACCUCGCGAGAGCAAGCGGACCUCAUAAAGUGCGUCGUAGUCCGGAUUGGAGUCUGCAACUCGACUCCAUGAAGUCGGAAUCGCUAGUAAUCGUGGAUCAGAAUGCCACGGUGAAUACGUUCCCGGGCCUUGUACACACCGCCCGUCACACCAUGGGAGUGGGUUGCAAAAGAAGUAGGUAGCUUAACCUUCGGGAGGGCGCUUACCACUUUGUGAUUCAUGACUGGGGUGAAGUCGUAACAAGGUAACCGUAGGGGAACCUGCGGUUGGA